UCGCCAAAUAACUACGAGUAAAAACUUAAAAUUUAAAAGACUUGACGGUACCUCACAUCAACCUAGAGGAGCCUGUCUAAUAACCGAUAUUCCACGAUCAACCCAACCCCCCCUAGCCUUAACAGUCUAUAUACCGCCGUCGCCAGCCUACCCUGUGAAAGAAACAAAGUAAGCUAGAUAGUCACACACUAACACGACAGGUCGAGGUGUAACUAAUGGGGAGGCCUAAGAUGGGCUACAUUUUCUAACACAGAAAACACGAAUAAACUAUGAAACAAGAAACUGAAGGCGGAUUUAGCAGUAUACUAAGAACAAAAUACAUAAUAGAAACCAACGCANURAGGUGCGUACACACCGCCCGUCAUCCCUGCCAACACACCCCUUAAACCUCCAUAAAAAAAACAUAAAUCCAAAACAGGGCAAGUCGUAACAAGGUAAGUGUACA
rnacentral:rRNA from 1 species